rnacentral:lncRNA from 1 species
UUUUUUUAAAGCCAGUUACAGCUUUAGCCUAACGUAUAGUUAAGUGUUAUUAAGAUGUCCAAUUAUAGAAUUACUCCCACUUGCUGACAAUAGAGCUCUGCUUCUUUAAACCUUCUUGUAAAUCACUCAACACAAGCCCCAAUCAUAUAAGUCUUUUUCAGUACCUGCUUACACAGAUACCCGGGUGUUGCUUAUGGUGUAUGUUCUUUUGCAUUUCUCAAUGUGGCAAGUUGUUAAUUCAGCUUAUUUAACUAUAGUGGUCUUUCCCCAGCACCACCCAGAAAACAAAGAUAUUGAACUUUGACCCUUCCAAUUCCCAAAAAUUGAAUUUAAAUGGUUCAUAGACUUUUUAAAACUGUAAAAAAAAAAAAAAAAUUCUAAAAGAAAACAGAAGAACCUAUUUGUGAUCUUGGGUUAGGUAAAGGAAUCAUAGCUAUGACAUAAAAACACAAUGAAUUGAUUAAAAAUUGAAAAAAAAUUCAUAAAUUGGGCUUGAUAAAAAUUAAACACUUUAACUGUUAAGGUAUCAUUAAGAAGACUUAACAGACCAAAGACUGGGAGAAAAUAUUUACAAAACAUUAUUGAUAAUGGAUUUAUAUUUCUGUAGUAUAUGAGAAGAAAUCUUAUAAGUCAAUACUAAGAAAACAACCUCAUUUAAAAAUGGGCAGGAGAUUUGAAUAGAUACAGUCCCAGUGAUAUGUGCUUAUAUGAAUGGCAAAUAGACACACUAAAUUCAAAUUAAAACCAAAUAUACAUACUACUGUCUACUCAGUAGAAUGACUAAAAUCAAAAAGAAUGGAAGUAACAAGCCUUGGUUAAGAUGUGUAGAAAUUGCAACCAUUUCACAUGACUGGAAUUUAAAAUGAUAUAGCCCCUAUACUUUGAGGAACAGUUUAUCUGUUCCUCAAAAUGUUAAACAGUUCAUAUGACCCAGAAAUUCUAUGUAUUUGUAGAAAAAAAUUGAAAACAUGUUCACAUAAAAACCUGUACAUGAGUGUUCAUAGUAGUGUUUCUACAAAUAGCCCCCAAAUGGAAACAACUCAAAUAUCCAGCAACAGGUGAAUAAAGUGUUGUGUUUCCAUUCAAUGGACUAUGACUUUAAUAAUAAAAAACAACAAACUAUUUAAGAUAGAAGCUACAAAGUUAUCUCAGAAAUACUAAGUGGAAGAAGCUAGAUACAAAAGACUACAUGUUCCAUAAGAUCCUUUUGUAUGAAAUUUCCAGAUUAGUCAAAACUAUAGAGAAAAAAGAACAAUUUCCUGUGUUGGGGGUAAGAGUGAGGAGUGACUGCAAAGGAGAAUGGGGGAACUUCUUGGGGUGAUGGAAACAUGAAACAUGAUUGUGGUGAUACUUGAACAACUGUAUGAAUUUACUAAAAGAUAUUGGAACUGUUCACUAAAAUGUGAAUUUUAUGGUAUAUAAAUUAUUUCUCACUUGAGACAACAGCUUAUGAACUUAAAAACAGUGCUCGGAUUUAUUGAAAAAAAUGGGGCUGGGGUUGUGGCCUCACACAUGUGGGACACUGGAUUCUAUUCUCAGCACCAAAUAAAAAUAAAUAAACAAAAUAAAGAUAAAAAAAGAAAGAAAUUCAUGAUUCCACACUGAUGAUAAACCAAAUGAAUGGGAUGAAAGAAGGGCUUAUGAUUAUAAUAGAAUGAUAAGUAAGUGCUGACUUGUAAAAUAAAUGUGCAGGAAGUGGAGGAAUUAAAAAAUUAGCCUUUUGCAGCCAUACAGGAAAAAAAUUGGACCAAUCAAGAACCACUAAUAUAAAUCUCG